CACCCAGCACCUCAAGUUCAGUACCCCAGCUCUCACUGCUCUGCUGAGACUGUGAGGUCGUUGUUAUCACUGUACAGUGGUGCAUCAUGCCUGACUCUGUCACUGUAUCUUCAUAAGGUCUGGGGCCAUUGAUGGCAUCAACGUCUUAAUUUCUCCCAUCUUGCAGAGGAAGACACUAUUCCACCUUGACGUGAUAGUGACUGAGGAGCUACAGCGUUCUGAAAGGUCCUUACACUGCUUUGGAGGAAUUGUAGAAGAGGGCAUUGUCCCAGAAUCAGGGAACAGCCACUGAAACCGGAGUCUUGAAAUUGGUUCUCCAUGGCACAUGUGGAAGUCUUUGACGAGGCCAAGUUUGGCAAGCACAUCAGAGGUGUAAAUGAGAGAAGCACCGUGUGCACUGGGGUGGCAGAGAGGGUAACUCCCUCUACUCCCUGAUUCGGACAGAUGGACAGACGGACGAACGGACGACCCUGCUUUAG